rnacentral:tRNA from 1 species
UGCGGGGUAGAGCAGUGGUAGCUCGUCGGGCUCAUAACCCGGAGGUCGUAGGUUCGAAUCCUGCCCCCGCUA